ensembl:lincRNA Mirg miRNA containing gene
CUCUGCCUCAGAGGUCUUCUCAAGCCACUACUGUUCCCAAGGAUGCCUAAUUGCAAUGCCAGCUUCUGGGGUGAACAUGGACCCACUGUCAUCGGGCAAGGUCUAGGAUGGACAUGGAGACCCACCAUCUGGGAGAUUCCAGAGUGGACGUGAACCCACCAUCAUCAGGCAGCUUCAUGGAGUAUUCAGAAGCUGGCGGGUGUCAUCUGGAGGAUGUGACUGGGUACCAGUGCCAGAGCACGUGCCCACUGAGCAGUCUUCUUCACUUUCCUCGAUCCUCAUGAAACAUUCUGGGAUCUUUACCUCAAAGGACUCCAGAGGCUACAUCAUUGUCUUGGAACUGGUCAGUGGCUGGAGCUCUCUCCAGGACAAGUGCUUGGAGGAAGAACCUGGACAAGCUUCCCUCCCCAUACUGUUGACUGGAUCUUGUAUCUACCGUUAGCCACCAUCAUCGCCAUUGUGUGCCUCUUAGGAGCAUUUCCAGGAGGUGAUGCCAGCUGGGGAAAGAGCCUCUGUCCCACAGCCGUCGGUGCCCGCUGCAGCCUGCGCCCAGGAUGUCACAGCCUCAGCUCAACACCUCUGCUGGACAGCUUCAGGUGGUGAUUCCAGCUCCAGGGUUGCUGCGGUCAACACUGGGUACUUGAGGAGAGGUUGUCUGUGAUGAGUUCGCUUUAUUAAUGACGAAUAUAACACAGAUGGCCUGUUUUCAAUACCACCUGCCACUCCGGUCACUCGGCAGUACAUACCAGGUGUCACACCACUGCCCGGCAGGUGACAACGCUGAAUUGGUCCUCAGGAGCGGAUGUUCAAGGAACCCUGCCUAUGCUCCAUGCCAGCUGCCAGUCCUAGGUUGGGACAUUCCACUGGGGACAUCCAUGGGAGAGCUAUGGCCAUUAACAAGUCCUGAGCCCUGACCUGAAGCCAUCAGUGGCCUAGCUGCUCUACCUGACUUUGUGGCCUCUCUUCCUGGAUCUCUCGCUUACGACAACCGACAACAAAGAUGUUUGACUCCAGAAGAUGCUCCCCGCGGCCCACCUGAGAGGACUGUCCACACCCCACCCCACUGCGCCCUGUGCCAUCUACCUCUGAGUCCCCAACUCGGUAGCCCCUGCUUCUCACCCAUGUUUCAACUCCCACCCCAGAGCCUUGUAUUCCAGAUCUGAGCAGCCCUUGCUUAGGAACCUGAGGUGGGGGUGGGUAGGCAGACCCAGGGGACUGAGCAGGGAGGGGAAGGAGGGGUUUCUGCUCUUGGCUUUCAAAGUUCUCAGUGUGUGUAGCCCUUUGAAUAAUAAACAUAUGUCAUAUAAUGUAAA